GGGGGGGAGUCCAGGCCCCAGGGGAGAAACAGCAGAUCCCUGGAGAAGUAGAGGGGGAGGCCCCUGAAAGAGGAUUUGGGUGGGCCAGGGUCAGGGACAGAUUUCUUGGCUACCCUAUGCCCUCCUUUUCUCCUGCCCCCACCCCAUGUGUGAGCAGGGAGUAUUCAGGACAGGCUUCCUGGAGGAGGUGGCAUCUGAACCCUGAGAGGUGAAUGGAUGGUGGCAUUAAGUGGAGUUAGAGUCCAGAGGGCAGACCCAGGUGGAAGAUGCUGUACUAUCUGAAGAUGAAGAAAGGGGCCAUGAGCCAAGGAACGCAGAUGCUUCUAGAAGCCGGAAACACCUUCUCCCCAGGAGCUUCCAGAAGGAACAUGUGGCCCUGUGGGCACCUGGAUUUCAGCCCAGUGAGACCCGUUUUGGACUUCUGACCUCCAGAACUGUCAGAUAACCGUGUGUUCUUUUAGGCCACCAAGUGAGUGCUGACUUGUUACGGCAGCGGUAGGAGACUCAGACCCCCAACCUCCCGCCCAGAGUCCUGCUUGUGUUCUCAGAACCAGCCCCCCCCCCCCCACCCACACACACACACAUCUGGACUCAGUUUCCAAAUCAGCAGUCUGGGGCCCCAUCCAGGUCAGACCCACAACCCCUGCAGCAUGCACCCAUCACCCACCCCUCCAGACCUCUGAGCCCCUCUGGGGGUCUCCGGGGCUGCUGCUCCCUUGUUCCAGCAGGGUGGGGACUGAAAUCCCACAAGUCUGUCACUGCCUCUCUGUGCCCUGCAGCGCCCAACUCACGCCAGGUCUGCUGUCCCAGGCCUCUCUGUGUCUGGCUGUCCUCCCUGGCCUAGCCUUUGCCAAACAAGACCUCUGUCCUCAGUGGGGGGCUCCUCUCCCCAAAGGCAGGAGCCCCCGGUUCAGACAGUCCCGGGCUCAUGUUUGUGCUGUGUGAACUCGGGUGUGUGACACAGCCUCUCUGAGCCCCAAGGUGUCCUCAUCUGUGGAAUGGAAGAGAACCAGGCCAUCUGGGGGACAGAUAGGUGGAGGGACCCCUGCCUCCAUGCUGUUUCAUCCAAGUGGCCUGGGUCAGGGCUGGGGAGGGCUGGGACGGGUCGGAUGGGGUAGGUGGAGAAGCCUUUACGCUGUCUGUUCCUCCUGCCUGGAACGCUUUUCCUUCUUCUUGCCAGUCCGCGUGGCCCCCUCCCGCCAUCCCUUGGGCCUUUAGUCAGGGGUUCACGCUGUCCACCCAUCCUGCCACCCCCCUGCCUGCCACUGCCCCCCCCCCCACCAGCUGUAUCUCCCCAGCCCUCCUCCCUCUCGGUUCCUUUUUUAUCCUGUGCCUGACAGCCUCCUCCUGGAAAAUGUCCACCCCUCAAGGCUGGGGGGCAGGGGGGGGGUCCCAUCUUGAUCCCCCAGUGACCCUAACGCUGAAACAGGGCCCGGUACCCAGUGGCUGUUUCACAGAUGUUCCUUAAGGGCAGAGAGGAUGGGGCGAGGCAAGGUGGGAAAUGAAGUUUUCCAAGAAGGGCUCUGAAGAGGGCCUUACUGG